rnacentral:antisense_RNA from 1 species
GGGGCCUGGCUGGGAGGUGGGCCGGCCACCUCGGCCGUCGUCAGUGAUGUGCGCUGGUGAAUCUGAGUCUGCAUUUCCAGAAACAUCGAGUUGCCUGUGGUAAAGCAGGGAGCCCUCUGACGAAGACAGCAGCUCCUGAGUGCUCGGGCAGCCAUGGAGUCUCCUAUACAGUCCAAGAUGCCGCCUCCAUGGCCUCAGCUGGUCCCGGGGGUGAGGAAUGCCACAGGCUGUUACUCCAUUCCCCAAGCCCAACGUUCAGGCUCUGCAGCCGCAAGUCACUGGGGCUGCUUCCCCAAACCCCAGACACCCAGGAGUCCUAUGUGGCAGGCACUCCUUGUUUUAAAUUCUGGGAACAUAGGCUGUCGCUAUACAUUUAAUAUAGUGAUUAAAUAACAAGAGGACCCGAAGUAUCUUGGAACGAAAACCUUCAUUGUUUGCAGGAACAGGUGAUCCUCUGAAAAUGCCUAUUCACAAAUGCACUUUAUUAAAAAACACAAACACACAUGCAGACUGAAAACGAGAGAACCAUGGCCCCUGCUACAGCGAACACUGCCACAGAAUGGUGUCUGCGGAAGACCAAUAUCAUAAGGUGGAAACAUAAAGGAAAUAAAAGAGCAAAUAAGAGGAAACGGCAGCUCUCCUAAAAGCUGAUUUCAUGCCACGUAUCUCUGGUAUAAUGGUGCAUGUUAGAGCUAAAAUUGAGGGCUUCAAAAACUGUUACCUGAGUUCUGAGUUUAAUCAUAUCGGCUUCCAUCUGGGAAUUGGAUUCAUUUAGCUCCUUGAUUUCUUCAUCUAACUGUUUGAUUUCUUCAUCAUUUUCUAUACCUGUAAUAAUGAAUAUUAGUGUGUUAAAACUAUUAUAUACAAAAAUAUUAGAGUUAGAAUUUUGAGAGCUUUCUUUGUUCCUUUUAUAUUCGUAAUUGAAUUUGCUUGGAAAAUAGACUCUUGAAUUAGAAAGGAAAAAAUCAUCACAA